UAGAUGGAGGUUAUUGUGGUGGUCGCCGGUGAGGGUUUGAGCGAAGUGGUUGUGGUUGUGGUGGCGAGAGGAGAAAACAGUGAUUGAAGGUUAAUGGAGAAGGUGGAUGAUGGUGAAGCUUUGUGGCUUUCGUGGAGGAAGAUGAGAAGAAGCUUUUUCUUUCUCUUUUUCGUUUCUGUUUUCAGAAUGUGUUUUUGGUGAGUGAGAGGGAGAUUGGAGAGAUGAGUGAGGUGAGGUAGUGAUGUGGAGAGAGUGUGAGGAGGGAUUGCUUUAUUUUAUUUUUUUCUUUCUGUAACGUGUGAGAAAUUGGAGAGAGAGUGGGCUGGAUUUUAGUACCGUUCGAGGUGUGCUAGCUGUAAAAAAAAACGGUAUCCAAUGCUAAAUCUCACACAAUUACUAUUAUUAUUAAAAGAAAUAAUCUUAUUAAAAAUCCUUAAUAAAUAUUUUG
rnacentral:lncRNA from 1 species